UGAGGAAUUUUGGACAAUGGGCGCAAGCCUGAUCCAGCCAUGCCGCGUGCAGGAUGAAGGCCUUCGGGUUGUAAACUGCUUUUGUACGGAACGAAAAGGUGCCUUCUAAUAAAGGGCGCUCAUGACGGUACCGUAAGAAUAAGCACCGGCUAACUACGUGCCAGCAGCAGCGGUAAUACGUAGGGUGCGAGCGUUAAUCGGAAUUACUGGGCGUAAAGCGUGCGCAGGCGGUUUUGUAAGACAGAGGUGAAAUCCCCGGGCUCAACCUGGGAACUGCCUUUGUGACUGCAAGGCUGGAGUGCGGCAGAGGGGGAUGGAAUUCCGCGUGUAGCAGUGAAAUGCGUAGAUAUGCGGAGGAACACCGAUGGCGAAGGCAAUCCCCUGGGCCUGCACUGACGCUCAUGAACGAAAGCGUGGGGAGCAAACA
rnacentral:rRNA from 1 species